GGGAGAGACCUGGGGAUGCUCUGCUCAGCUAUGAGGACACAGAAGGCAGGACACAGUGACCAUCCCCACCAUGGCCUGGUCCCCUCUCCUCCUCACCCUGCUGGCUCACUGCACAGGGUCCUGGGCCCAGUCUGUGCUGACUCAGCCGUCCUCCAUGUCUGGAUCCCCGGGUCAGACGGUCACCAUCUCCUGCACUGGAAGCAGCAGCAACAUCGGGCGUGGUUAUAGUAUUCAGUUGUUCCAACAGCUCCCAGGAACAGCCCCCAAACUCCUCAUCUGUGGUAACAGCAAUCGAGCCUCGGGGGUCCCAGACCGCUUCUCUGGCUCCAAGUCUGGCAGCUCAGCCUCCCUGACCAUCACUGGGCUCCAGGCUGAGGACGAGGCUGACUAUUACUGUGGAUGUUAUGACAGCAGCCUCAGUGGUGGCUCAGUGCUCCAGGACGAGGGGGAAAAUGUGUCCUGA